AGGUGGCACUCUCCAACGGUGUUGUGUUCUUCGCCUGCUAUUGUUUUCUUUUUCUUUUCAUUUUCAGUCCAUUUUUUAUUUUCGUUAUUUAUUAAUUUUCUAUUCCGUUUGUGUGAAAAGUAAAUUACUGGAAUGUUAUUGUGUGGUUGCAAUUCAAGCCUUCCCUCUUUGGUGUAGCGUUAGUUGGAACGGCUGUCUUACCAAACGUGAAAAACGUCGUAACACAGAAGUUUACAAACACAAAAGUAUUUUUUUUAUUUUGACAUUGCUCUAAACUAAAAGCGUUUCAACUUUUUACAUAGAUCAUGUAACGCAGCAAAGCCAUGCCCUUAACGUAUAGACAGCAGUAGCAGUAUUGGCUGCUGCAUUGUUCUUUGCUGAGUUAGUUUUUGUUUCCUGUGAUUGUGGGUAGUGAGAUUUAACGUUCUAGCGAACCAGCCACAAGGGCGCCGUAUCGGUUCGAUCAAUGACGACGAUCCCACCAGCGAGAGUCAUGGGCAAUAGAGCCAGCGCUGCAGAGGAUCAAUGCAAUAAGCAACCCAGUAUGUGCAGCAACAACAGCAGCAGCAGCAGCAAUAACAAACUCAGCAACAUCAAGCACCGUAGUACCUGUUAACUUUUAUGCCAUGGUAGAAUCUUUGAUCUUCAUUCAUGCACUGCAUAAUCAACCAGUAUGAUAUAUUUCACCCGAUUAUGAGAGAAUGCACCAAAGCAUCAAGUAGUUCCUAGUUUGCUACUGUUACAAGUUAUAUUUGUCUGCUGUUGUUUUUUGUUAUUUUUAAAAUAUAUAUUUACUACUUUUUUGUACAA